GAUGAACGCUGGCGGCGUGCCUAACACAUGCAAGUCGAGCGAAUGGAUUAAGAGCUUGCUCUUAUGAAGUUAGCGGCGGACGGGUGAGUAACACGUGGGUAACCUGCCCAUAAGACUGGGAUAACUCCGGGAAACCGGGGCUAAUACCGGAUAACAUUUUGAACCGCAUGGUUCGAAAUUGAAAGGCGGCUUCGGCUGUCACUUAUGGAUGGACCCGCGUCGCAUUAGCUAGUUGGUGAGGUAACGGCUCACCAAGGCAACGAUGCGUAGCCGACCUGAGAGGGUGAUCGGCCACACUGGGACUGGGACACGGCCCAGACGCCUACGGGAGGCAGCAGUAGGGAAUCUUCCGCAAUGGACGAAAGUCUGACGGAGCAACGCCGCGUGAGUGAUGAAGGCUUUCGGGUCGUAAAACUCUGUUGUUAGGGAAGAACAAGUGCUAGUUGAAUAAGCUGACACCUUGACGGUACCUAACCAGAAAGCCACGGCUAACUACGUGCCAGCCGCCGCAGUAA
rnacentral:rRNA from 1 species